rfam:Thioclava pacifica DSM 10166 contig4, whole genome shotgun sequence.
GCCCGAGUGGCGGAAUGGUAGACGCAGCGGAUUCAAAAUCCGCCGCCGCAAGGCGUGUCGGUUCGAGUCCGACCUCGGGCA